AUUGAACGCUGGCGGAAUGCUUUACACAUGCAAGUCGAACGGCAGCACGGACUUCGGUCUGGUGGCGAGUGGCGAACGGGUGAGUAAUGUAUCGGAACGUGCUCAGUCGUGGGGGAUAACGUAGUGAAAAUUACGCUAAUACCGCAUACGAUCUAUGGAUGAAAGCGGGGGAUCGCAAGAACUCGCGCGAUUGGAGCGGCCGAUAGCAGAUGAGGUAGUUGGUGGGGUAAAGGCACACCAAGCCAACGAUCUGGAGCUGGUCUGAGAGGACGACCAGCCACACUGGAACAGAGGCACGGUCCAGACUCCUACGGGAGGCAGCAAUGGGGAAUUUUGGAAAAUGGGCGAAAGCCUGAUCCAGCCAUUCCGCGUGCAGGAUGGAGGCCCUCGGGUUGUAAACUGCUUUUGUACAGAACGAAAAGGUUUCUACUAAUACUAGGAGCUCAUGACGGUACUGUAAGAAUAAGCACCGGCUAACUACGUGCCAGCCGCCGCCGUAA
rnacentral:rRNA from 1 species